CGGGAUGUAGCUUAGUCCGGUUAAAGUGCUGGUCUGGGGGACCAGAGAUCGCUGGUUCGAAUCCAGUUAUCCCGA
rnacentral:tRNA from 2 species